rnacentral:tmRNA from 1 species
GGGGGUGAUCCGGUUUCGACGGGACACGUGGAGAUCAGAUCGCGCGUCGAGGAUGUCGGUUGGCCUCGUUAAUCAUCCGGCAAAACCAUAAUCGCGAACAACGAUUACGCUCUCGCGGCCUAAUUACGGCCCCGAUGUCGCCCGGCAGACGCCUGCUACGCCGCUGCGGCAUAACUCAGCAGGACUUGGCUUGAAGCGCUCCGUUCGCGCGUCUCGCCCACGUACAACCGAGCGGUUGCUUGGGGAUAAGCCCGUCCGUCGGCAUACCUCUUGCGAGAUCAAAGGCGGGAUACACGCGUAGAAGUUUGGUUGAAGCUGCCUCGGACGGGGGUUCGACUCCCCCCACCUCCACA